GAGGUAAAGUACCACCUUGGCUUCUCCCCAAUCCCUGGCCCCAGAUCGGGAUGAGUGGACUGAAAUUGUCCAGUUGUUUACCCAAUGUAUGUGUGUGAUCAAGGUAUAACACCUUUCCCAUAAACACAACAGCUUAAGAUCUGUAGUUCUCCCUUGUGAGUCAUGGAGCUGCCUGGCCAGCUUGGCAUUCUCUCUGCCUUCAGUCUUCUUGGGGAAGGGGAGUUGACACGUUGGGGCAAAGCUUUCUGUCAGCCUCAUCUCCUGGGUGCUUUGGGUCUGCUAAGAUGUUCCCAAGCUUCUUGUGGUGAGGACUCCUCAUUGAUCCAAGGCCAGAGAUCAAUUCCAGUUUUGAUUUUGGUUUCCCAUAUCUCUCUUCAGAAAUAAGUGGUGAUGUUUAUUAUUCUCCAGGGACGUGUUGGUGCAACAUCUUUCUAUUCGACUUGUCAAAGCAAUGGAAAGUGGAGUAAUUCCAAACUGAAAUGUCAACCUGUGGACUGUGGCAUUCCUGAAUCCAUUGAGAAUGGUAAAGUUGAAGACCCAGAGAGCACUUUGUUUGGUUCUGUCAUCCGCUACACUUGUGAGGAGCCGUAUUACUACAUGGAAAAUGGAGGAGGUGGGGAGUAUCACUGUGCUGGUAAUGGGAGCUGGGUGAAUGAGGUGCUGGGCCCAGAGCUGCCGAAAUGUGUUCCAGUCUGUGGAGUCCCCAGAGAACCCUUUGAAGAAAAACAGAGGAUAAUUGGAGGAUCCGAUGCAGAUAUUAAAAACUUCCCCUGGCAAGUCUUCUUUGACAACCCAUGGGCUGGUGGAGCGCUCAUUGAUGAGUACUGGGUGCUGACGGCUGCUCAUGUUGUGGAGGGAAACAGGGAGCCAACAAUGUAUGUUGGGUCCACCUCAGUGCAGACCUCACGGCUGGCAAAAUCCAAGAUGCUCACUCCUGAGCAUGUGUUUAU
rnacentral:sRNA from 1 species